rnacentral:rRNA from 1 species
UACCAGACUCCUACGGGAGGCAGCAGUGGGGAAUCUUCCGCAAUGGGCGAAAGCCUGACGGAGCAACGCCGUGUGAUCGAAUGAAGGCCUUCGGGUUGUAAAGAUCUGUUGACAGGGACGAAUAAGCAAUGCGAAUAGUUUUGUGUAUGACGGUACCUGUUUAGAAAGCUCCGGCUAACUACGUGCCAGCAGCCGCGGUAAUACGGAGGAUGCGAGCGUUAUCCGGAUUUAUUGGGUUUAAAGGGUGCGCAGGCGGAUUUUUAAGUCAGCGGUCAAAUCGUGGGGCUCAACCCCAUCCAGCCGUUGAAACUGGGGAUCUAGAGUGUGCGAGAGGUAUGCGGAAUGCGUGGUGUAGCGGUGAAAUGCAUAGAUAUCACGCAGAACCCCGAUUGCGAAGGCAGCAUGCCGGCUUCCGACUGACGCUGAAGCACGAAAGCGUGGGGAUCGAACAGGAUUAGAUCCCCUGUAC